rnacentral:lncRNA from 1 species
GCCGUAGUAACAGGGCGGCUGCUCUGGCCAUUACAACAGAUACCCACCUCCCCCAUCCCAUUCCCAGCCAGCCCCAUCCAGGUGGAGGGGUCAGGAGGCCCCACCUGCCUCCUAGCUCUGGGACGCCACAGCCAGGAGUGCUGGAGGAGAGCCAGAUAUCCCAUGGCCAAGUGAAGGGACCUAGCUGAGAGGUAAGGGAAAGAAGUGGCUACUGAGAAUAGCUGAACAGAUCUGCCACACCUGGCAGUCACAUCUGUCCCAACCAAGCUUCUACUUGACCUUAUCCCCAAGGUUGUCCCAUGGAUCAGUCUUGUCCAGUCUUCAGUGGUUCCAAUAGAAGGUAUCAGGGCCUCACUCACUGCCAGAAUGGCCUGAACACCCAGAACACAGACUCUAUCCACAAUGGGGACACUGAGAGACAGAGCAGUUGUUGAUCUGCUAGCCUGUCCUGCUCUACAAGCCAGGGACCAGACCCUGUGCCAACAGCCUGCUGGAGGCUUUCUUAUGAGCAUGUGCUCUCAGGCCAGCCCUGGCACUUCCUUCCUAAGGGCCUUCUGCCCAGCUUCCAUGUCCCAACCUCUGAGAAACUGUUGCCAGUCUUUCUUCUUUGACCUCAUCAUUAUCACUCCUCCCUUGUCUUUUUCUGCCCAUUUCCAUUAUAGCACCCUCAACUACUUAAACAUCCUGUUCUUCCCUGGAUACACGAAGUUCAAAUAACCCCAGACUCUAACAAUUACCAAUUUUUCUUUUGCUCAUGGGAAUCUUGAAGUCAUUUACACUUCUAUUCUCCCCCACACAUCAUCCUUCCUGUCUUCACUUUUUCCUGCAUCCACUUCUGACUGAUGACACACUGUGCUGGCAGAGCCCACCACUCCCUCAUGUGGCCUGGGUUAUUUCCCCAAGGUCAGAGCCAUUUCUGGUGCUCCCACAGCCCCCCUUGCCAGUCACUGUGUCAGGGGGGUGGGUAAGUGUUCUGGCUACCUGGGCAUGACAGUAAGUUUGCUGGAAGCGCUUCAAGGAGUUAUCUUUCCUCUUGUGAAAAGAAGCACAAGGGGAAAAUAGAAUAAGAAACGAAAAAAGCAGCCUCUUAACCGGGUACACACUGAUGCCCUUAAUUACAGAGGGUUCUAUUCAGUGAGGAAGAAGGAAAAAGGGAUACUGAAUAUGAAUCAAGUAGUUUCUGUCCAAGUAAUAAAACAGGCACCUCCCUUCAGAAUCCGGCCUCCUCUACAUUGUGCUGGAUGUUUCCAUACCUGCUCUGACUGUCUGGGACUGCAGAAGCCGUCUUCCAACCUGGGAGGAGAGUUAGCCUGUGAAGACUAUGCUGAAGAUAAGAGAGCAGAGAAAUGGAGAAAUCUGGGUAUAUUGCCGAGGUGCUGAGUUAGUCAGCCCUAGAUCACCUUAACUCCAAAUUUCUUCUGUGAAAUAAUAAAACCCUUUACUAUUUAAGUUAUUUUAAACUGGAUAACCUAUGACCUGUCCUUUUCUUGCAGCUGAAAGUACACUAACUGAUUGAUAGAGCAUGUAAAGGCAGAAAGGAGAAUGAUACAGGAAUGGAAUCUGUUCUACACAAUGUAGAAUUGACCAAAUGGAGGAGGCAGGGCAAAGGGAAAAGAGGACACUACUACCUAAGGCUGGACAGUUGGUGACCUUAUGCUCUCUUGAAACAUUUGACCACAUUGUUUCUUGCUGUAUCUCAGGACACAGGCCAUGUUACUAAGAAGACUAAAAAGAGUCAUGGAACCCAUGUAAAAAUAAAAACUGUGAUGCAAGAAAACAAAGGAGUUUUAUAUCUUGGCUUGCAAUGUUAGUUGACUAAAAGACCUAGGGCUCCACAUAAUCAUCAGAUUCAGGCUUCCUCCUUCUUUCUGCCCUAACAUUCUCAACAUGUCUACCACACUGCCUCUGCUGCCAGCGUCCAAAAUAGCUGCUGGAGCUCCAACUAUCACAUCUAUGUACCAAGAAAAAGAAAGGAGGAGGACAGGAAAGGCAAGACCAGUGCACUCCUCUGCUGAAUUGUUUCCCUUUAAGUAUUGUUCCCAGAGGUCCCACAUUCCACGUUUACUCGUUUCUUACUGGCAUAUAUUAAAGACAUGGCCACACCUAGUUAAAUGACAAACUAAAAAAAGCAGUCUUUUAACCAGGUACACACUGAUGCCCCUAAUUACUGAGAAUUCUAUUUAGUGAGGAAGAGGGGAAAUGAGCAUUGAGUAUGUACCAAGUAGUUUCUGUCCUGGCAACAUAAUGGACAUACCUCCCUGUGGAGCCUGGAUUCCCAUGAGCCAUCAUUUCAAACUUUUCCUUGCCAGUAUCUCAGCUUUCUUAUUCAUUUUUCCUUCAGUCACCCUUGCCUCGAAAAACCAAACUCUGUCUUCUCUAGGCCUACAUCUGGGCAAAAGUGGUUAGAGAAAAUCCCACCCUACACAUCAGCGCAUCACCCUCUGCUGGGUGUACCGCUGCCAAGAAAGCCCUAGAGGUCCUGAGGUGUGUGUUCUCCUUUCAUCCCUUGCUACAAGUUGAAGUUCCUUUCCACAGAGCUCAAGUCUACACUCCAGUCAGCACUGCAGCCCCUCGCCUUAGCCAGUCAGCCUUGUCUCCUGCUACAUAGGGGCCACACAAGCCACUGCCUGCAUCUGCACUAGUCCUCUCCUUGCACCUUGUCACAAGAGGGGACCAACCCUGCUGUCACUUCCAAAGCUGGUACAUCCACUUCACCUGGGCUCUGAAGUCCAGCCUAGCACCCAGGCUUUCCAGGACUUGGCACUGUUUAGUACUUUCUCUCUAAUGCAGCCUCUGCUCUCAUCUGCCUUGAUCUGUCACUCAAGCAGCUGAAUAUAUGAACUCUCCUGUCUGGGAGCUGGGACGUCUCCUUUA